CAGUUGUCUGCAUCUAUACUGACUUAGCUAUUCAUUCAUUAUUCAUGAUCGGCCCACUUGUCACUGUAGCAGAUGCAACAUAUGCCCAAACUUGUUCCAUUUUGAGAACAGGUAUAAACACAAAUCGCAACAAUGUUCUAGGGUUCACGCAGCAAGGCAAUUCGGCGACUCCAGUGCACAUCGUCGGGCUUCAAAUCGACGAAAACCAAACUGGGCUUAAAAUCGACGAAGCUUUCCUACACAGUCCUCUUCUUGUCACUGUUGUGGGCUUGAAAUCGACCACACUGAAAUAGAUCUGAAGCUUUCCUUAAGAGUCAUCUUCUUCUCACUAGUGAGCUCCUCUGCUUCUUCUUCUUGUUAUCGUUGUUUUCUGUCUAAAAUUUUGAUGUUGUUUGGAGAUCGAGCUUCAAAUCGACCACUGUAUAUGAAGAUCUGAAGAGAAAUUCCCUCUAUCUCACCUCUGCGUUUUCCGGCGAACCUAAGCUUCGCCACUGCCUUUUGUCACUCCGGCGAGUUCUUCAUAAAGGGGCCGAGCUUACUCUUUAUCGCGUCUCUCUCCACUCUCGGAUUCUCUUCUCUCUGUCCAAAAUCUCCCCAAGUUCUCUCUCUAUUUCCUCAACUUUCUCAUCUCGGUUAAAAAUUGAAGUGAUGAAAAAGCCAUGUUUCUGAUUCGGAACUUUACUCUUCUUCAACAACUCCAGGCAAAUCUUCUUUGAACCAGGUACAUAGCCCUCCUUCCAACAAGUAUGCUUGAUAAAGAAUAUUGUAUUGGUGGUUGUUUCUAUUGGCUUUUAAGUUUGUCAUUUCUGAUGUCUCUUUGAGUUUGCUUGAUACCUUUUUUUUCUAGUUAUUUCAUGGAAUAUGGUUUUUCUAACAACUACUGCUAUGCAAGGCGGCCACCUAUUCUCAAAUUUCUUUUCCCUCUUUUGAAAUCUUAUGCAAUCAAAAAAUUAUUUUAGUACUGGAAUGGUAUUGUACAUAAAACCUAUAUUGAUACUAUAAUACUAGGAUAAUAAUUAAAAUGUUAUAUAUAUAUAUAUAUAUAUACAUAUAACUGGAUGAGGCAAAAUUUGACAUAAAAUACAGAAAUGGAAUUGUUACUCUGACAAGAUUGUUCAAGACAAUCAUAACAUGAAGAGUAUGCAUUAAGAACAUCUUCUGAAAGAAUUUCAAUGUCAGUACCAAAUUGAGCCAAUUAAUCCAUGAACCAUGUUGGGAGUUCCUAAUCAAAUUCUUUGGCAAAAUAAAUAAACCAAGAGUGUUUGAAAUUUUUAUUUUGAUAAUAAAAUACAUACUUCCAAGCAUCUUGAUAAUCAGAAUCUGAUGAAGUAGAUAAGAAGUUCUUGCAAUAAUAAUGGAGAUGACUGUUUUGGAAUUUAUCUUAGUCAACUGAAAUACAUUAAUGGAAACUGAAAUUACUGCACCCUACAUGCCUUAGGCUCCAUUUUUUUUUUUUUUUUUUUUUUUUUUGGCUUUUUAUUAACUAAAGAUUCAUAUCAGGCUUCAAGGUUGAACUAAUCUCAAUGGACCAUCCCUUUGAUUUUUCCAUUUAAGAAUAUUUUAGUGUUAGCUUUUGAUUGUGCAUGCCUAAUUCUAUACUUUUUUAAUUGGUUUAGCUUUAGUUGGAGGAUCAUCGAAUUCAAACUUGGUGGAAAUACAAUAGUGGAAACUGAAAUUACUGCACCCUACAUGCCUUUGGCUCUAAUCUUUUUUUUUUUUUUUUUUUUUUGGCUUUUUGUUAACUAAUGAGUCAUAUCAGGCUUUAAGGUUGAAUUGAUCUCAAUGGACCAUCCCUUUGAUUUUUUCAUUUAAGAAUAUUUUAGUGUUAGCUUUUUGUUGUGCAUGCCUUAUUCUAUACUUUGUUAAUUGGGUUAGCUUUAGUUAGAGGAUCAUUGAUUUCAAACUUGGUGGAAAUACAUUAAUGGAAACUGAAAUUACUGCACCCUACAUGCGAGUCAUUUUAAGAAUCUCACUCAACAUGCAUAAUUUAUCGGACCACAGUUGUUAAUAACCCUUUUAACCCAUUCUUAUUAAAACUAUGUAAUUAGAUGGAUAUCAAUGGUGACAAUGUGGCGGGAGAAGAAAUAAAGGACCUUACAGACAAUACCGAUGAUACAAAACUAGUAUGGGAUAAUAAUCAACUCGAAGCUUUCAUUAUCUGUAUGGAGGAAGAAGUGAGGGUUGGUAAUCGGACUAGUGGAACUUUUAAUCCAACUGGUUGGAAGAAUCUAGUAAAAGGCAUAAGGGUCCGUACAGGGAAGAAGUAUGCACCGAAACAACUUAGGAGCAAAUUCAACCACGUGAGGGUAGAGUACAAAGCCUUCGUGAGUUUGUUAGUAGAAACAGGCAUAGGAUACAAUGCUAAGACGGGCAUGGUUAUAGUUGAAAAUGAAAGAUGGGCUAUAUUGAUGAAGGUGAAUAACCAUUAUAGUAAUUUUUGAAAGAAGGGAUGCAAGCAUUUUGACAAGCUCACCACCAUAUUUGGAGGCACACACGCUGCAGGUGCACAUGUUAAUACUUCGAUUAAUCCACCAAUUAUCAACCAAGCCCCCUUACAUCAUGUAACCAUACAUACCUCAUUUGAAAUUGAUGAUUUAGCUGAGACGGUCAUGGGAUCAGUCCCUCUCCUAAACCUCAUGAUAAGAAACCAAAGAAAGAGAAUUUUGCCCCCACAUUAAGCGAUGUCAUGGUGCAAAUGAAAGACAAUGCCAACAUGAAAUGUGAUCAAAUUGAAAAGGCCAUAAAAGAAGCUUCAUCAUCUAAUAUGAAAACAGUCCAUGAAGAAUGUCAGGUUGAAGUAAAUUCUUUAGACAAGACAAAAGGUGAUUUUAAGUUAUGUUGUAGUAUUUUGAAUUAGUUAGAGGGCAUUGAUAAACAAUAUGCUAAGGUCACCCAGAUGUUACGUAAUGAUGAAGUUUGGAGGGAUUUCUUUCUGAAUGACCUUCUUAAUGAUAAGAGGGUUGGUUGGAUCAUGAAUCUUUGAUUUGAUGUGUUUCUUUUAUUAUGACAUUGAAUGACUGUACUAUUAAGUAUACUUUAUUUGGUGUAUUCGUUUAUUUCUUAUUUGGUUUUGUUAUGACCUUGGAUGAUUGUAAUAUUAAGUACACUAGUAUUUAUGUUAUUGGGAUGAUUGUAUUGACAACAUCACUAUUUUGCUUGGGAUGAUUUUAUUUGUUGUCUUGCUUUUAUUUCUUAUUUGGUAUUUGGCUUAGAAUGGUUGUGAUUUAUGUCAUUUCUUACAUUUUGUAUUAUACAGAUGGAUAUUAGGACAAUAAUUGAGUUGUACAAUGACGAUGAUGACGAGAAUGAAUAUGUUAUCAUAAUGGCAUGUAUAUUGGAUUAUUAUAUGAAACAUUACCAUAAACUGUCAGCCCCAAAACCAUAGGGCGUGAUAAAGUACGGUUCCAAAAAAAAAAUAAUAGACAGCUCAUUGUAAUUGGAAGAAAACUAAGUAACGAUUA